GUGGGGAAUCUUGCGCAAUGGGCGAAAGCCUGACGCAGCCAUGCCGCGUGAAUGAUGAAGGUCUUAGGAUUGUAAAAUUCUUUCACCGGGGACGAUAAUGACGGUACCCGGAGAAGAAGCCCCGGCUAACUUCGUGCCAGCAGCCGCGGUAAUACGAAGGGGGCUAGCGUUGCUCGGAAUUACUGGGCGUAAAGGGCGCGUAGGCGGACAGUUUAGUCAGAGGUGAAAGCCCAGGGCUCAACCUUGGAAUUGCCUUUGAUACUGGCUGUCUUGAGUACGGGAGAGGUGAGUGGAACUCCGAGUGUAGAGGUGAAAUUCGUAGAUAUUCGGAAGAACACCAGUGGCGAAGGCGACUCACUGGCCCGUUACUGACGCUGAGGCGCGAAAGCGUGGGGAGCAAACAGGAUUAGAAACCCGUGUAUCC
rnacentral:rRNA from 1 species